rnacentral:rRNA from 1 species
GAUGAACGCUGGCGGCAGGCCUAACACAUGCAAGUCGAGCGGUAGAGAGGAGCUUGCUUCUCUUGAGAGCGGCGGACGGGUGAGUAAUGCCUAGGAAUCUGCCUGGUAGUGGGGGAUAACGUUCGGAAACGGACGCUAAUACCGCAUACGUCCUACGGGAGAAAGUGGGGGAUCUUCGGACCUCACGCUAUCAGAUGAGCCUAGGUCGGAUUAGCUAGUUGGUGAGGUAAAGGCUCACCAAGGCGACGAUCCGUAACUGGUCUGAGAGGAUGAUCAGUCACACUGGAACUGAGACACGGUCCAGACUCCUACGGAAGGCAGCAGUGGGGAAUAUUGGACAAUGGGCGCAAGCCUGAUCCAGCCAUGCCGCGUGUGUGAAGAAGGUCUUCGGAUUGUAAAGCACUUUAAGUUGGGAGGAAGGUCAGUAGCUUAAUACGUUGCUGAUUUGACGUUACCGACAGAAUAAGCACCGGCUAACUCUGUGCCAGCAGCCGCAGUAAUAC